rnacentral:rRNA from 1 species
UCUGGUGGGUAGUUUGACUGGGGCGGUCUCCUCCUAAAGAGUAACGGAGGAGCACGAAGGUUGGCUAAUCCUGGUCGGACAUCAGGAGGUUAGUGCAAUGGCAUAAGCCAGCUUGACUGCGAGCGUGACGGCGCGAGCAGGUGCGAAAGCAGGUCAUAGUGAUCCGGUGGUUCUGAAUGGAAGGGCCAUCGCUCAACGGAUAAAAGGUACUCCGGGGAUAACAGGCUGAUACCGCCCAAGAGUUCAUAUCGACGGCGGUGUUUGGCACCUCGAUGUCGGCUCAUCACAUCCUGGGGCUGAAGUAGGUCCCAAGGGUAUGGCUGUUCGCCAUUUAAAGUGGUACGCGAGCUGGGUUUAGAACGUCGUGAGACAGUUCGGUCCCUAUCUGCCGUGGGCGCUGGAGAACUGAGGGGGGCUGCUCCUAGUACGAGAGGACCGGAGUGGACGCAUCACUGGUGUUCGGGUUGUCAUGCCAAUGGCACUGCCCGGUAGCUAAAUGCGGAAGAGAUAAGUGCUGAAAGCAUCUAAGCACGAAACUUGCCCCGAGAUGAGUUCUCCCUGACUCCUUGAGAGUCCUGAAGGAACGUUGAAGACGACGACGUUGAUAGGCCGGGUGUGUAAGCGCAGCGAUGCGUUGAGCUAACCGGUACUAAUGAACCGUGAGGCUUAACCUU